UACAUAGGGGGCGAGCGUUGUCCGGAAUGACUGGGCGUAAAGGGUGUGUAGGCGGUCUGAUAAGUUGGAAGUGUAAUACCCAGGGCUUAACUCGGGUGCUGCUUCCAAUACUGUUGGACUUGAGUGUAGGAGAGGAUGAUGGAAUUCCCAGUGUAGCGGUGGAAUGCGUAGAUAUUGGGAAGAACACCAGAGGCGAAAGCGAUCAUCUGGACUAUAACUGACGCUGAGGCACGAAAGCGUGGGGAGCAAA
rnacentral:rRNA from 1 species